rnacentral:rRNA from 1 species
AUUGAACGCUGGCGGCAUGCCUUACACAUGCAAGUCGAACGGUAACAGGUCUUCGGAUGCUGACGAGUGGCGAACGGGUGAGUAAUACAUCGGAACGUGCCCGAGAGUGGGGGAUAACGAAGCGAAAGCUUUGCUAAUACCGCAUACGAUCUCAGGAUGAAAGCAGGGGACCGCAAGGCCUUGCGCUCACGGAGCGGCCGAUGGCAGAUUAGGUAGUUGGUGGGAUAAAAGCUUACCAAGCCGACGAUCUGUAGCUGGUCUGAGAGGACGACCAGCCACACUGGGACUGAGACACGGCCCAGACUCCUACGGGAGGCAGCAGUGGGGAAUCUGGACAAUGGGCGCAAGCCUGAUCCAGCCAUGCCGCGUGCAGGAUGAAGGCCUUCGGGUUGUAAACUGCUUUUGUACGGAACGAAAAGACUCCUUCUAAUAAAGGGGGUCCAUGACGGUACCGUAAGAAUAAGCACCGGCUAACUACGUGCCAGCCGCCGCGGUAAGAC